rnacentral:rRNA from 1 species
GAUGAACGCUGGCGGCGUGCCUAAUACAUGCAAGUCGAGCGAACAGACGAGGAGCUUGCUCCUCUGACGUUAGCGGCGGACGGGUGAGUAACACGUGGAUAACCUACCUAUAAGACUGGGAUAACUUCGGGAAACCGGAGCUAAUACCGGAUAAUAUCUUGAACCGCAUGGUUCAAUAGUGAAAGACGGUUUUGCUGUCACUUAUAGAUGGAUCCGCGCCGCAUUAGCUAGUUGGUAAGGUAACGGCUUACCAAGGGAACGAUGCGUAGCCGACCUGAGAGGGUGAUCGGCCACACGGGAACUGAGACACGGUCCAGACUCCUACGGGAGGCAGCAGUAGGGAAUCUUCCGCAAUGGGCGAAAGCCUGACGGAGCAACGCCGCGUGAGUGAUGAAGGUCUUCGGAUCGUAAAACUCUGUUAUUAGGGAAGAACAAAUGUGUAAGUAACUAUGCACGUCUUGACGGUACCUAAUCAGAAAGCCACGGCUAACUACGUG